CACAUGCAAGUCGAGCGGUAACAUUUCUAGCUUGCUAGAAGAUGACGAGCGGCGGACGGGUGAGUAACGCGUAGGAAUCUGCCUAGUAGUGGGGGACAACAUGUGGAAACGCAUGCUAAUACCGCAUACGCCCUACGGGGGAAAGGAGGGGAUCUUCGGACCUUUCUCUAUUAGAUGAGCCUGCGUGAGAUUAGCUAGUUGGUGGGGUAAAGGCCUACCAAGGCGACGAUCUCUAGCUGGUCUGAGAGGAUGAUCAGCCACACUGGGACUGAGACACGGCCCAGACUCCUACGGGAGGCAGCAGUGGGGAAUAUUGGACAAUGGGCGCAAGCCUGAUCCAGCCAUGCCGCGUGUGUGAAGAAGGCCUUAGGGUUGUAAAGCACUUUCAGGAGUGAGGAAGGGCGUAUAGUUAAUACCUGUAUGUCUUGACGUUAACUCCAGAAGAAGCACCGGCUAACUCUGUGCCAGCAGCCGCGGUAAUACAGAGGGUGCGAGCGUUAAUCGGAAUUACUGGGCGUAAAGCGCGCGUAGGCGGUUUGUUAAGUCGGAUGUGAAAUCCCA
rnacentral:rRNA from 1 species